rnacentral:lncRNA from 1 species
CCUCACAGGUCACCUAGUAGAUGAGCCCUUCCGUCUAUUCAAUUAAAUGCAAAAGGAAACUACUCAGCCUUGGCUUCAAGGAACCCAGAUGGCCCUUCCUCCCCUCAGAGCGGAGCUUUGUUCUGAGAGAGGGGGCCGUGGGGCAGUGGAAUUACUCUGUGUGGCUUCAGUGGGCGAGGAGAGGGGCUCACUGUUUCAUUUGAGCCCAACUUUCCUUGGUUCCUGGGCUGCGAGCCUCUUACCACGGGGAGGACUCUCCUUUUCUACGGCAGGCUCCCAGUUCAUAGUGAAUGCCUCUUUCCAAACACUGACCACACUUGAGAUUAUGCGCUUUUUAUCUACCUUCUCCAAGAGAUUGUAAACUCUAUCAGAUAUCCCAAAUUCUACGAGUCCUUGGCUAAGACACAAAUCUGCAUGAAGCUCUGUUACUAAGUUAAGGAGUGAUGAAUGUAUUCCUGUUGCAGACAGACAAUGUUCAUGGAUGGCCUUGGGACUUCUUUCCUUCCCCAGCUUAAAUUUCUCUGUCCAGAAAUGCAAACUUUUGUGCAUUUUCUUCCAUUGAUCUAACAGUCUUCUUAAAACCUACAAGAGGUAGGUGGAGAGCUCUGGGGUUAUUAUUUCCAUUUAACGGACAAUGAAAAGGAGGAAGGCACUGGAAAGGAAGUGACUUGCCCAAGGUGAACAGCAGAACUAAGACUAGAUCCUGGGGCCUUCCUCCUGCAGAGGGCUUCUCUCUGGUGCCAGGUGCAGGUCCAUGUCCAGUCAGCUGUCCCAACCUGAGAUUGGAGGUGGGAGGAGCAGAGGGCAGGAGAAAAGACAGGGGAAUGAGGGUGUGGGUGUCCACCUGCCUGAAAGUUUGUGGUUGUCUGUUAGCUGCAAUCCCUUUGGGGUGAUUGACCCUCCCUCUCCCAACCUAGGGAAUUUCCUGGGGGCUCAUUCGUCCUAUUUGUUUGUUGCUCUGCCAACAGGACCCGAAAGUCAAG